GAGAAAGAAGAAAGAAAUCGACAAGAACAACUUAGCUUUCAACAAGAAAGAAGAAAGACUUUAAGUGUCAACGUAAAUCUCAUCCACACCGAAAAUUUAUUCGCUAUCCAGUGGCCUCCUUCUCACCGGCGAUUAUUAACUCAGGCGGACUGUUUGUUUUUCUUUUCCAUCUCUUCAUCAGAAAGGUAUGGGAAAUACCGAAUCAGGAUAUGAUGAUACUUCUCACUCUGACUUUUGGCAUCAACCUUCAGCAGAUCAAAACCAUCAACCCAGACAGCAAGCCCCCAUCUAUACCUGACAAUUUCAGCUCAUUGGAUCAGGCUGAGGAUACACAUUAGCUGGAGUAAUGAAAUACAUGGAGAGAUGAGGAGGGAUUAAGGUAGAACUAAGAUCACAAGUUAAGCAGUAAAGAAGGAUUUGGCAUCUCUAAAGCUAUUGGAGAACAUAGUCCUUGAUUUAGCAGAAAGAAGUUCAAACAAAUCUUUGACUUAAAUUGUAGGUUAAAUGUGGGUUGAGCUAACAUGUCUUGACUUGAAAUAACUUAUCUGAAAGUGGUUAGCUGCAUGACAGUUGCUGGCUAAGGUAGAUGUCAUAAACUUAGCAUGAAAAUUGUGAUAGAAUAUUGCGAUCACGGUGCAUUAUUGUGAUGUACUUUGUGACAACAUAACCUCCAAGUAGUUAAAUAAGUACCAGGUAAUACACUAUGUGAAAAAUGAUUAUUGUACUUCAGACAUAUCUGUCAAGAUUUU